rnacentral:rRNA from 1 species
GACGAACGCUGGCGGCGUGCUUAACACAUGCAAGUCGAACGGAAAGGCCCUGCUUUUGUGGGGUGCUCGAGUGGCGAACGGGUGAGUAACACGUGAGUAACCUGCCCUUGACUUUGGGAUAACUUCAGGAAACUGGGGCUAAUACCGGAUAGGAGCUCCUGCUGCAUGUUGGGGUUUGGAAAGUUUCGGCGGUUGGGGAUGGACUCGCGGCUUAUCAGCUUUUUGGUGGGGUAGUGGCUUACCAAGGCUUUGACGGGUAGCCGGCCUGAGAGGGUGACCGGCCACAUUGGGACUGAGAUACGGCCCAGACUCCUACGGGAGGCAGCAGUGGGGAAUAUUGCACAAUGGGCGGAAGCCUGAUGCAGCAACGCCGCGUGCGGGAUGACGGCCUUCGGGUUGUAAACCGCUUUCGCCUGUGACGAAGCGUGAGUGACGGUAAUGGGUAAAGAAGCACCGGCUAACUACGUG